AGGUAACAGAGCCCUUGGGACGUCUCAACAUGAGGUGACACAGCAAAUGCAUAGAAAAGCUUGUCAAUGACACAGCAAAGUAAAACCCAAAUGAAGCAAGGUGAAAGAAUGGGCUGCACAGCAGGUAAAACUGCACCAAGUUACAGACUGCUCGCCUGGGAUGGAACGGUGGGGAGGUGCGCAGGAUGGACAAGCGCCUGGCAAAAUGGAUUUCUUUCCCCAGGCUGCUAAUGCUACUAACACUUCCCUCCUCACAAGGUCGCUGUAAUAAGGUAACAUACAGCACUUAGAAGACGGCCUGACCCAGAGUAACACUAAUGUUCACAUGACUGGACUCUCAGACCAAAAUCAAUAGCUAGUAUCUACUGACACUUCAGCAAGGCGAAACCAAGGGAAUGGUGCUCCUUUGAGUAGAGCAACGCGCAUCACAUCACAUCCUCCGUAGGGGGAGGCUCCGGCCUCACCGGAGCAGCACUUCCCGGAAGAGCCCAGGAUAUUCGGGGACCGCCACCCGACGGCAGUCCAGGCCCCCUGGCGCCCAGCCUGCCGCCCUGUUGCAGCUCUCAUGCCAAGACGUGCGCCUAACGGCAGGGAUUCCGGCGGUCAUCAUUUAUUUUUGGCGCUAAGCUGCCGCCUCUCUUUUCUAUCACCACCGAGUAACGCAGACCCCACCGUUUCCUUCCAUUCUGAGUCAACCGCUCCAGCAGCUACAGGGGUGCUAGGUUGUGAGGCGGUUGCACCACCCGGCCCCAGGCUUUUGAAGCCACGCCCAGGCGCGGAGGAUGGGCAGGAUUUGCCAAGUGAACUCGCGCGCACGCAGGCUCCGUGCCGAGUCCCGGACGCCCGAGCGGGAAUUCUCUUCCCCGUUACCAGCUCCAGGGUGGGGUCCCCCGGCUGGGGAGCCCAGACCCCGGCAGUCCAGCAGCCUAUAGACGAUCCACGUCCGCCCUGUAACUCACCGCGCUGGGGAUACGCCUCCUCCCGCCACAGCAAGGGCGCCGUCCUCCCGCGUAUGCUGCGCAGGCGCGCCCCGCCUUCCCGGUCACGUGCUACAGUGCUCGGGCACGUGAUCACUCCUACAACCCAGGAGGCUGGGAAAAUGCUGCCCUGUCCCUGAACAGGAAGCGGAAGCAGGAAGGAACUGAGAACACUGGCGUCUGCUGCCGUCCUGAAAAAUCAGCGUUAGCAUGUGGAAGCAACCUCAGCCCCCAGUUUUUUAAAAAGGUAAUUCGGAUUCAGACCCAGGAAUUACGGUGAGGAUAGAAAUGGACUGGAAGGUUCCUUCCCCUGGCCCACCAAGACUCCAGAGCAGGUGAGCUCCUGAUGUCUACUCUGCUUGGAGCCCUGGGCUUUCCGGACCUCCCUACUUUUCCUCCGAACUCACAGCACAGCUGAGCCAAAAUGCAUUCCUGCCAAAACGGGCAUUUCCCAAAAGACAAUACUGUUUUAGAUUCAUUGUUCACAGCCUCUUUCCCAAAAGAAAAUACUGUUUUAGAUUCAUUGUUCACAGCCUCUUUCCUUCGUCUCCCCUUCCUUUCCUCAUCUCUUGCUCUAAUUGGAGAAUUUGACAACUCUGAAACUCUGACCUUGGACAACCCCAACUCCAGCAAGCCCAGGCAAGAGUGGGCCAGGUGCAGCCCAAGGUAGCCAAACACGUGAGUUUUGUUUAGUUACAGACCAUGGAGAGGUCAGACCAAGAAGUGGAAGGAAGUGACUGGCCUGAGGCCUUUGUUUGGGCCACUUAGGGUUGAAUGAAAUGAUAAAGGUAUAGCCACAUUGUCUGGAAGCGCUUCAGGUAAUAACUGUUCUCUAAGGAAAGCAGUCACCAUAUUUAUAUCCAUAAAAUCCGUUUAUUAAAGAAGUUACAUAGCAAUAUACAUCCCAAACCUUUUCUCAGAAUUGUCAUUAGCUUUUUAAAUUCAUUAAAUGUUUUCAUCUCAUUAAAAAUGGUUUCUUCCUUUAAAAUUUCCCAGAAAGCGUGACCUCUGUUUUUUGCUACUCAGUUUAAACACAUCAUCAGGGAUAGAUAAUUAAUAAUGUCAUGUGAGCAUAAAAGGAGAUUUAUAAACCAGAAAUGUAUUUUCUGGGAACCAAGUUUCAAGUGACUCAGAUAAGUUUUAUUAAUUUCACGGGUGAAGCCCUUGGAUAAAGCAGUGCCUAAAUCAGGCUUGUUUACCCUUGGCAUCACGUGACCAAACACUGUUUCAGGAUAGUGGAAGUACAGCUUGGGAGGCCUUUGGCCUGAGCCUGUUUUGCCCAAGCCCAUCCAGAAUGAAAAGUACAAAGGAAGGCUAGUGUGUAUGCAAAGCAGCAUGGCUUAUUUUGAGGUCCUAUAGUUGUGGGCCAACAAAACAGUGGCAGGAUCUGAAGGAAGAAAUGUAUUGCAGCAGACCAUAUCCUUCAAACCACAAAGGGAGACUGAGGAAAUGCUGGCUUCAGGCCAAAGAAACCCUGGCUCAAAACACAGUUUCCUCCAGUGGCUCAGAGGCAGACCAAGUUCAUCAAGUCAAGGACCUUUUCCUGCUACCACCUUGGGGAGAGGGGCCUUCACCAGCCCGCCCUGCACAUGGGUCUCUGCCGUUCAGAACCUACCCAGUAACAGUAGCAAACAUCCAUGUUUUCCCCUUAUGUAACUUAGGAAACUGUUGAGCACAGUGGCUCACACCUGUCAUCUCAGCACUUUGGGAGGCCAAGACAGGAGGAACACUUGAGUCUAGGAGUUCAAGACCAGCCUGGGCAACGUAGGGAGACCCAUCUACAAAAAAA